rnacentral:rRNA from 1 species
GAUGAACGCUGGCGGCGUGCCUAAUACAUGCAAGUCGAGCGAAGCGGGGACGGGUGAGUACCACGUGGAUACCCUCCUAUAAGACUGGGAUAACUUCGGGAAACCUGAGCUAAACCGGAUACUUAUUGAUGGAUCCUCGCUGCAUUAGCGAGUUGGUAAGGUAACGGCUUACCAAGGCUACGAUGCAUAACCGACCUGCGAGGGUGAGCGGCCACAAUGGAACGGAGACACGGUCCAGACUCCUACGGGAGGCAGCAGGAGGGAAUCUUGCGCAAUGGGCGAAAGCCUGACGGAGCAACGCCGCGUGGGUGAUGAAGGUCUUCGGAUCGUAAAACACUGUUAUGAGGGAAGCGGUACCUACUCAGAAAGCCACGGCUAACUCCGUGCCAGCAGCCGCGGUAAUUC